rnacentral:rRNA from 1 species
GACGAACGCUGGCGGCGUGCUUAACACAUGCAAGUCGAACGGAAAGGCCCUGCUUGCAGGGUACUCGAGUGGCGAACGGGUGAGUAACACGUGGGUGAUCUGCCCUGCACUUCGGGAUAAGCCUGGGAAACUGGGUCUAAUACCGGAUAGGAGCCAUUUUUAGUGUGAUGGUUGGAAAGUUUUUUCGGUGUAGGAUGAGCUCGCGGCCUAUCAGCUUGUUGGUGGGGUAAUGGCCUACCAAGGCGGCGACGGGUAGCCGGCCUGAGAGGGUGGACGGCCACAUUGAGACUUAGGUACGGCCCAGGCGCCUACGAGAGGACGAAGUGGGGAAUAUUGAACAAGGGACGCCGGCCGGGUGCAGAGGGCCCGCGGGUGGGAUAGCGGCCUUCGUGUUAUAGAAUCGUUUCGCUUGAGACGAAGGCUUUUGUGACGGUACCUAGAUAAGAAGCACCGGCUAACUACGUG